ensembl:lncRNA
UAGGAAUUUCCACCCUGAAGAGAUCCUGAAGAGAGAAUGAAUGUGGGUGUGGGAGAGCCCAUUCUUACCCACAGUACUCUGCUGGCAGCAGGUAUCUCUCUCAGGCUUUAACCAUCACUUACGGAUCUUUAUCUCUAGUGCAGCCUUUUAAAUUCCAGGUCAGGAUUCGGACACAAGUAUCAUUGGGCCAAAUUCAAGAUGUCAACAGGGCUGCUAGUUGCUCUAGAAGACAGUCUGAAUCCUUGCUUUUUCCAUCUUCUGGAGUUUGCCUACAGUGCUUGGCUUGUGGCCCCUUCCUUCAUCUGCAAAGUCAGCAAUGAGGGUUGGGUCCUUCUGACGUUGUACCACCCACUCCUCUCCCACUUUUAAAUACUCUCUGAUUACAUUGGGCCCACCCAGGUAAUUCAGGAUAAUCUCCGUACUUUAAGGUCAGAUGAUUAUCAACGAUCACUCUCCCUUGUAAUAUGAUACAUUCACAGGUUCCAGGAUGGAGCUAUCUUUGGGGCAGGGGUAUUAUUCGGCCAAUCACAGGACAUCUGGGAUAUAAAUAAGAAUUGUAAGCCAAGAAACCAGUAAACAUGUAGGAAAAUCUAAACAAAUCUUGUCUGUAAAAAAACAAAAUCUAAAUGUGGGUUAGAGAAAUGAUAGAACUAAAAUGUCAUUCUACAAUAAACUAUGGGCUGAG